rnacentral:rRNA from 1 species
GGAAGGGGUGUAUUUAUUAGAUAAAAAACCAACGCCCUUCGGGGCUCCUUGGUGAAUCAUAAUAACUUAACGAAUCGCAUGGCCUUGCGCCGGCGAUGGUUCAUUCAAAUUUCUGCCCUAUCAACUUUCGAUGGUAGGAUAGUGGCCUACCAUGGUGGCAACGGGUAACGGGGAAUUAGGGUUCGAUUCCGGAGAGGGAGCCUGAGAAACGGCUACCACAUCCAAGGAAGGCAGCAGGCGCGCAAAUUACCCAAUCCCGAUACGGGGAGGUAGUGACAAUAAAUACUGAUACGGGGCUCUUUCGGGUCUCGUAAUUGGAAUGAGAACAAUUUAAAUCCCUUAACGAGGAACAAUUGGAGGGCAAGUCUGGUGCCAGCAGCCGCGGUAAUUCCAGCUCCAAUAGCGUAUAUUAAAGUUGUUGCAGUUAAAAAGCUCGUAGUUGAACCUUGGGCCUGGCUGGCCGGUCCGCCUCACCGCGUGUACUGGUCCGGCCAGGCCUUUCCUUCUGGGGAACCGCAUGUCCUUCACUGGGCGUGCCGGGGAACCAGGACUUUUAC